ACUAGGUGUGGGGGACAUUCCACGUUUUCCGCGCCGUAGCUAACGCAUUAAGUGCCCCGCCUGGGGAGUACGGCCGCAAGGCUAAAACUCAAAGGAAUUGACGGGGGCCCGCACAAGCGGCGGAGCAUGCUGAUUAAUUCGAUGCAACGCGAAGAACCUUACCAAGGCUUGACAUGCACUGGACGGCUGCAGAGAUGUGGCUUUCUUUGGACUGGUGCACAGGUGGUGCAUGGUUGUCGUCAGCUCGUGUCGUGAGAUGUUGGGUUAAGUCCCGCAACGAGCGCAACCCUCGUUCUAUGUUGCCAGCACGUAAUGGUGGGGACUCAUAGGAGACUGCCGGGGUCAACUCGGAGGAAGGUGGGGACGACGUCAAAUCAUCAUGCCCCUUAUGUCUUGGGCUUCAAGCAUGCUACAAUGGUCGGUACAAUGGGUUGCGAAACUGUGAGGUGGAGCGAAUCCCAAAAAGCCGGCCUCAGUUCGGAUUGGGGUCUGCAACUCGACCCCAUGAAGUCGGAGUCGCUAGUAAUCGCAGAUCAGCAACGCUGCGGUGAAUACGUUCCCGGGCCUUGUACACACCGCCCGUCAAGUCACGAAAGUCGGUAACACCCGAAGCCAGUGGC
rnacentral:rRNA from 1 species